AGCGACUUAAGUCAAGUCAGCCGACCAUUGUUCUACCUGUCAGUUAGCAUAGCAUGCUAUCAGCACAAAACCGUCCUAUUUAGCAGGAUAAAUGAGAUGCCGUAUUGAUGACUCGUGGGAUCAGUGCCUCAGAUAACCAAGGUCAUGUGUCACAAAGGUCCCGAACCUGGAGGAUCGUCUUAUGAGUGAGUCUCAAAGUCACUUCUUCAUCAUCCGACCUCCCUGGCUUUGCCUGCACGCUUCUCCACAUGUCACUCUGAUGCACUCAUUUCGGAUCUCCCUAGUCACUCAGUAUCUUCAUCUCUGACUCAGCUUCCUUUCAGCAAGACAUGAGGCAGUCAAGCACAGGGAAAAAUGAAAAAGCUUGUUGAGCAGCUUGUAUUUUUGGCUCCAGAGUUCAGGAAAUUUAAAUCAGGCUUUUCACAAGAGCAGAAAAAAAGUUGUGGCUGAUGAAGUAAACAUUUGGAGUUUCAAGGGUUAAGUCCAUCUUGAGCAUGAAGAAAGCGGACAGCUAUAAGAGAAGCCUGGAUCUGAGCAAGAAGGAACUGAUACAGAAGGCUCAGCUGUUGUUUCAGGUUGUUACAUCAGCAGACUUGUACCAUGUAUUAUGAAGCUCCUUGAAGCUUCAAAAGGAUAGAAAUGGGAUAUUCACCAAUGAAGCAAGCGGCUGCGAUGACCUGCAGAGCUCCAGGGCGCUCCAUCCUCCACUCCAGUUGAAGGCUCUCAGCAGCAGACUCUGGGGAGCAGCAUCAUCUUGGCCGACUCGACUCUCUGAGAAGCUGCUCUCUGCUAUGGGAUCAUUCCGCUCAGCGUCAUGUGACAAAUUCCACAUCAUGUGAUUUUGCUUUGGUUGGGAGGGGAGGGGUGAAAUUCAGGAGCGCUGUUGUUGCUGCAAGAGCUUUCAGGUCCAAGAACCGUGAGUUUCAGAGCUUCUGUUUUACUGCUGGUUUUCGUUCUUCAUCAUCAUCAUCAUCUUCAGUGUACACACACAAACUAAAAUUAAAUGGAAAUAAAGAG